GAGAUUGAAGGAAAAUAUUGCUUACACAAUGCGCUGAGGAUUCCAGAGGAUAGAAUAGGUGUGAAAGUCAGCAGUGGGGUCAAACCAGAGGUGAAAUUGUUGUUCUUUGUCACCUUUGCCAUUUGUGAAUACAUUGGUAUGCAGAGUGUAAGGGUCUGAGGAUUCCAGAGGAUAGAAUAGGUGCUGAGGAUUCCAGAGGAUAGAAUAGGUGUGAAAGUCAGCAGUGGGGUCAAACCAGAGGUGAAAUUGUUGUUCUUUGUCACCUUUGCCAUUUGUGAAUACAUUGGUAUGCAGAGUGUAAGGGUCACCACUUAAAUUCCCCAAGAACUCGAAGUCUAUCUCAUCCCAUGUUGAUCCUGGCGAUUUUAACUGCGUGAACAAAAA
rnacentral:lncRNA from 1 species